rnacentral:ncRNA from 2 species
ACAUACUUCUUUAUAUGCCCAUAUGACCUGCUAAGCUAUGGAAUGUAAAGAAGUAUGUAU